rnacentral:rRNA from 1 species
CAGUCGCCGCGGGAAUACAGAGGAUGCAAGCGUUAUCCGGAAUGAUUGGGCGUAAAGCGUCUGUAGGUGGCUUUUCAAGGCCGCCGUCAAGUCCCAGGGCUCAACCCUGGACAGGCGGUGGAAACUACCAAGCUGGAGUACGGCAGGGGCAAAGGGAAUUUCCGGUGGAGCGGUGGAAUGCGUUGAGAUCGGAAAGAACACCAAUGGCGAAAGCACUCUGCUGGGCCGACACUGACACUGAGAGACGAAAGCUAGGGGAGCAAACGGGAUUAGAGACCCCGGUAGUCCCUGUCUCUUAUAC